rnacentral:rRNA from 1 species
UUGCUCUUCAACGAGGAAUGCCUAGUAAGCGCGUGUCAUCAGCAUGCGUUGAUUACGUCCCUGACCUUUGUACACACCGCCCGUCGCUACUACCGAUUGAAUGGCUCAGUGAGGCCUUCGGACUGGCUCGAGGAGGUUGGCAACGACCACCUCAAGCCGGAAAGUUCGUCAAACUCGGUCAUUUAGAGGAAGUAAAAGUCGUAACAAGGUCUCCGUAGGUGAACCUGCGGAGGGAUCAUUACACAAAUAUGAAGGCGGGCUGGAACCUCUCGGGGUUACAGCCUUGCUGAAUUAUUCACCCUUGUCUUUUGCGUACUUCUUGUUUCCUUGGUGGGUUCGCCCACCACUAGGACAAACAUAAACCUUUUGUAAUUGCAAUCAGCGUCAGUAACAAAUUAAUAAUUACAACUUUCAACAACGGAUCUCUUGGUUCUGGCAUCGAUGAAGAACGCAGCGAAAUGCGAUAAGUAGUGUGAAUUGCAGAAUUCAGUGAAUCAUCGAAUCUUUGAACGCACAUUGCGCCCUUUGGUAUUCCAAAGGGCAUGCCUGUUCGAGCGUCAUUUCAACCCUCAAGCUCAGCUUGGUGUUGGGACUCGCGGUAACCCGCGUUCCCCAAAUCGAUUGGCGGUCACGUCGAGCUUCCAUAGCGUAGUAAUCAUACACCUCGUUACUGGUAAUCGUCGCGGCCACGCCGUAAAACCCCAACUUCUGAAUGUUGACCUCGGAUCAGGUAGGAAUACCCGCUGAACUUAAGCAUAUCAAUAAGCGGAGGA